rnacentral:rRNA from 1 species
CGGGUGAGUAACACGUGGAUAACCUACCUAUAAGACUGGGAUAACUUCGGGAAACCGGAGCUAAUACCGGAUAAUAUUUUGAACCGCAUGGUUCAAAAGUGAAAGACGGUCUUGCUGUCACUUAUAGAUGGAUCCGCGCUGCAUUAGCUAGUUGGUAAGGUAACGGCUUACCAAGGCAACGAUGCAUAGCCGACCUGAGAGGGUGAUCGGCCACACUGGAACUGAGACACGGUCCAGACUCCUACGGGAGGCAGCAGAU